rnacentral:rRNA from 1 species
GACGAACGCUGGCGGCGUGCCUAAUACAUGCAAGUCGAACGCACGAAGUUGAAGAGCUUGCUCUUUAACCAAGUGAGUGGCGGACGGGUGAGUAACACGUGGGUAACCUGCGCAUUAGAGGGGGAUAACAUUCGGAAACGGAUGCUAAUACCGCAUAGUUUCAGGGAUCGCAUGAUUCUUGAAGGAAAGGUGGCUUCGGCUACCACUAAUGGAUGGACCCGCGGCGUAUUAGCUAGUUGGUGAGGUAAUGGCUCACCAAGGCAAUGAUACGUAGCCGACCUGAGAGGGUGAUCGGCCACACUGGGACUGAGACACGGCCCAGACUCCUACGGGAGGCAGCAGUAGGGAAUCUUCCGCAAUGGACGAAAGUCUGACGGAGCAACGCCGCGUGAGUGAAGAAGGUUUUCGGAUCGUAAAACUCUGUUGUUAAAGAAGAACAAGGAUGAGAGUAACUGCUCAUCCCCUGACGGUAUUUAACCAGAAAGCCACGGCUAACUACGUGCCAGCAGCCGCGGUAAUACGUAGGUGGCAAGCGUUGUCCGGAUUUAUUGGGCGUAAAGCGAGCGCAGGCGGUUCUUUAAGUCUGAUGUGAAAGCCCCCGGCUCAACCGGGGAGGGUCAUUGGAAACUGGAGAACUUGAGUGCAGAAGAGGAGAGUGGAAUUCCACGUGUAGCGGUGAAAUGCGUAGAUAUGUGGAGGAACACCAGUGGCGAAGGCGACUCUCUGGUCUGUAACUGACGCUGAGGCUCGAAAGCGUGGGGAGCAAACAGG